CAGCUGAAUAGUGUGGGGAAAGGGGUUAAUGACUCAGCAGAAAUGAGCCAGGAGCAAAGGCUCCAGCUGCAUGACUCAUCAGCCAGCAGACACGGAAACUGCAUCCUAAAGGAUUCCUGAACUCCUAACGUUUGGCUGUGGCUCUCAGUAUCUGCCUCCAUCAGUUGCUGGAUGAUGCCUCUCUGAUGAUAACUGGGCCAGGUUCCAAUCUGGUCACAGGAGAUGGGCAGUUCAUGCUACUUAUCCACUAUUGUUUCCUCCCAGAUUGAAACAUUCCAUUCUUCAGGAAGGUAAACAAUUCAAGAUAACUUCAGGAAGUUCCUGAAGCUGACCAGAUUCACUGGGUCUCUCCCUGCUAGAGUAAGCAAUAAAAGCUUAGUGUCCACCUCAGAUGGAAGGAAACUGAGCUGCAAAGAAGACUCUGAGACCUGAUCAGCUGCCUGGAAGAAGAUGAGCUACCUGAAGAGGUUUAGAACAACAGAGGCACCUGGUCACUCUCCAACCUGUCUAGCUCGCUGUACUCUAGGUUCCCAGCUUUGUGUGAUGUUACCCAUGUCAGGUGGGCCUCAGCGAGUCAGCUGUCUCUGAGUCAUUUCUGCUCC